GUACUUUGUCCUUCCUCAUUAAACAUACAUCAAUAUGUAUACAUUUAAUUCGAAGCAUUUUCAUUAUUGAGGUAUAUACUUGAAGUCUCAAGACAGAAAGAACAAGAUGAAGAAGAUGCAAUUCCUGAUUUUGUUUGUGCUGACUUUUGUGCUCAUAGUCAUUGAAGCACAGAGUCAGAAUGAAGAACCAAUUACCGAGAGGUAUUGUUGUGGUGCAUGGUAUACCGUAAGCAUCGCUUCCUGGUGUUCUAAAUGGUGUACCAGAAUUCUGAUUUCGAGUGCAUAAGGAGUUGACAAUAUAAUAAUGAUACCUGUUACUGAGGAAAAAGGACACACUUGAACCUCCAAAGGAUAUAUGUCAAGGAAAGAAUUGAAUAAUUAUUUUUACUUAAUGUUAAUAACUAAUAAACAACAAUCAAUAUCCCCACA